GUGAGGAAUAUUGCGCAAUGGAGGCAACUCUGACGCAGCCAUGCCGCGUGCAGGAAGAAGGCGCUACGCGUUGUAAACUGCUUUUAACCGGGAAGAAACCCCAGGACGUGUCCUGGGUUGACGGUACCGGAGGAAUAAGCACCGGCUAACUUCGUGCCAGCAGCCGCGGUAAUACGAAGGGUGCAAGCGUUAUCCGGAUUCAUUGGGUUUAAAGGGUGCGUAGGCGGAGCGUUAAGUCAGUGGUGAAAUCCUGCCGCUUAACUGUAGACUUGCCAUUGAUACUGGCGCUCUUGAGUGCGCUUGAAGUGGGCGGAAUGUGCCGUGUAGCGGUGAAAUGCUUAGAUAUGGCACAGAACACCAAUUGCGAAGGCAGCUCACUAAGGCGAUACUGACGCUGAGGCACGAAAGCGUGGGGAUCGAACAGGAUUAGAUACCCGAGUAGUCC
rnacentral:rRNA from 1 species